rnacentral:lncRNA from 1 species
AUGCUGGCUUCAUAGAACGAAUUUGGAAGUACUCCAUCUCUUUCUAUCUUUCCAAACAGCUUUAGGAGAAUAGGUAUGAUUUCUUCUUUAAACGUUUGAUAAAAUUCUCCUGGGAAGCCAUCUGGCCCUGGACUCUUGUGUCUUGGGAGGUUUUUGAUGACUGCUUCAAUUUCCUCCCUGGUUAUUGGCCUGUUCAGGUUUUCUAUUUCUUCCUGUUCCAGUUUUGGUAGUUUGUGGCUUUCCAGGAAUGCGUCCAUUUCUUCUAGAUUGCCUAAUUUAUUGGCGUAUAGCUGUUCAUAAUAGGUUUUUAAAAUCGUUUGUAUUUCCUUGGUGUUGGUAGUGAUCUCUCCUUUCUCAUUCAUGAUUUUAUUAAUUUGAGUCUUCUCUCUCUUCUUUUUAAUAAGGCUGGCUAAUGGUUUAUCUAUCUUAUUAAUUCUUUCAAAGAACCAACUCCUGGUUCUGUUGAUCUGUUCCACAGUUCUUCUGGUCUCGAUUUCGUUGAGUUCUGCUCGAAUCUUUAUUAGCUCCCUUCUUCUCUUGGGUGUAGGAUCUAUUUGCUGUUUUUUCUCUAGCUCCUUUAUGUGUAAGGUUAGCUUUUGUAUUUGAGUUCUUUCCAGUUUUUGAAUGGAUGCUUGUAUUGCGAUGUAUUUCCCCCUUAGGACUGCUUUUGCUGCAUCCCAAAGAUUUUGAACGGUUGUAUCUUCAUUCUCAUUAGUUUCCAUGAAUCUUUUUAAUUCUUCCUUAAUUUCCUGGUUGACCCCUUUUAUCUUUUAGCAGGAUGGUCCUUAACCUCCAUGUGUUUGAGGUCCUUCCAAACUUCUUGUUGUGAUUUAGUUCUAAUUUCAAGGCAUUAUGGUCCGAGAAUAUGCAGGGGACAAUCCCAAUCUUUUGGUAUCGGUUCAGACCCGAUUUGUGACCCAAUAUGUGGUCUAUUCUGGAGAAAGUUCCAUGUGCGCUUGAGAAGAAUGUGUAUUCAGUUGAGUUUGGAUGUAAAGUUCUGUAGAUAUCUGUGAAAUCCAUCUGGUCCAGUGUAUCAUUUAAAGCUCUCGUUUCUUUGGAGAUGUUUUGCUUAGAAGACCUAUCGAGUAUAGAAAGAGCUAGAUUGAAGUCACCAAGUAUAAGUGUAUUAUUAUCUAAGUAUUUUCUUCACUUUGGUUAAUAAUUGAUUUUAUAUAUUUGGCAGCUCCCACAUUUGGAGCAUAUAUAUUGAGGAUUGUUAAGUCCUCUUGUUGAAUAGAUCCUUUAAGUAUGAUAUAGUGUCCCUCUUCAUCUCUCACUACAGUCUUUGGGGUAAAUUUUAGUUUAUCUGAUAUAAGGAUGGCUACCCCUGCUUUCUUUUGAGGACCAUUCGAAUGGUAAAUGGUUCUCCAACCUUUUAUUUUCAGGCUGUAGGUGUCCUUCUGUCUAAAAUGAGUCUCUUGUAGACAGCAAAUAGAUGGGUCCUGCUUUUUUAUCCAGUCUGAAACCCUGCGCCUUUUGAUGGGGUCAUUAAGCCCGUUCACAUUCAGAGUUACUAUUGAGAGAUAUGAGUUUAGUGUCAUCAUGAUAUCUAUUCAGUCUUUGUUUUUGUGGACUGUUCCACUGAACUUCUUCUUAAAGGGGAAUUUUAAGAGGCCCCCUUAAAAUUUCUUGCAGAGCUGGUUUGGAGGUCACAUAUUCUUUUAGUUGCUGCCUGUCUUGGAAGCUCUUUAUCUCUCCUUCCAUUUUGAAUGAGAGCCUUGCUGGAUAAAGUAUUCUUGGUUGCAUGUUCUUUUCAUUUAGGACCCUGAAUAUAUCCUGCCAGCCCUUUCUGGCCUGCCAGGUCUCUGUGGAGAGGUCUGCUGUUACCCUAAUACUCCUCCCCAUAAAAGUCAGGGAUUUCUUGUCUCUUGCUGCUUUAAGGAUCUUCUCCUUAUCUUUGGAAUUUGCAAGCUUCACAAUUAAAUGUCGAGGUGUUGAACGGUUUUUAUUGAUUUUAGGGGGGGAUCUCUCUAUUUCCUGGAUCUGAAUGCCUGUUUCCCUUCCCAGAUUAGGAAAGUUUUCAGCUAGAAUUUGUUCAAAUACAUAUUCUGGCCCUCUGUCCCUUUCGGCGCCCUCGGGAACCCCAAUUAAACGUAGGUUUUUCUUCCUCAGGCUGUCGUUUAUUUCCCUUAAUCUAUCUUCAUGGUCUUUUAAUUGUUUGUCUCUUUUUUCCUCAGUUUCCCUCUUUGCUGUCAACUUGUCUUCUAGGUCACUCACUCGUUCUUCCACCUCGUUAACCCUCGUCGUUAGGACUUCUAGUUUGGAUUGCAUCUCAUUCAAUUGGUUUUUAAUUUCUGCCUGAUUAGCUCUAAAUUCUGCAGUCAUGAAGUCUCUUGAGUCCUUUAUACUUUUUUCUAGAGCCACCAGUAGCUGUAUAAUAGUGCUUCUGAAUUGGCUUUCUGACAUUGAAUUGUAAUCCAGAUUUUGUAACUCUGUGUGGGAGAGAGGACUGUUUCUGAUUCUUUCUUUUGAGGUGAGGUUUUCCUUCUAGUCAUUUUGCUCAGUGCAGAGUGGCCAAAAGCAAGUUGUAUGGGAA